rnacentral:lncRNA from 1 species
UUUGGGAUCGCACAAUCAUCAGUAUGCUGAACAUGUCCCUUCUCCAUUUCACCCCCAUCAGAUACCAACGUCGAAAGUGCGUGGCUUACACACCAACUGGCUGAAGUUCAAUCGAGAUAGGAGAUGUCUGAUGUCUGAUGUCGGCAAGCAAGAGGGAUGACACAUCGAAAGAAUGCCCUGCAGCAGUGUCCCUCCUCCUGCUUAGACGAUGGUUACCUUGUACUUCCCUCAGAUGUCCCGUCCACUCAUCAGAGUGGUGAUGCAACAGGAUCUUCAGACAUGCUGUCCUUUGGGAUGUGGACUGUCGUGUAGAGAAGGCACUCUCCACUCUCUCUCCAUAUGUAGCUGUCUAACAUACUGGCCCAUGAGAGUGGUUGACGGAGAAGUACCUUAUUCGCAGUUAGCGGCUACAAAAACUGAGCUCCUGUCCUAGCCCAGGAGGGUAGCAUCUUGCUGCAACAAACACGCAUUUGCCAUGGACAGACCCUUCUGGGGGGACGGAAGGUCGGCUUUGUGAUUGGGUCCAACAGUCCACAGCAACUUACACAUUCUGACGCAAUGUAUUAGCGGAUCCCCUAUCCUGGAAACUGAAGCUUUGGUUUAUUUUCCGUUUGACUUGGAAAUUCUAGUUUAUAGCUUUCACGGGUCGGUGAAAGUUCUCAUUUCUUUCACAAUGGCCUUAGAUGUAUGAGACAGGGCUGCUCAGAUCAAAUGGGAACAUUUGUUUCCUAUGCAAUCAAGAAACCCUGUGUAAACAUCCUAAGCCUGGAGUGGUUCCAAGUCCUGUUUGAGAACUUGGUUCACCUUUUUUUUUCCUUCUUUCGGACAGAAUGAAUACAGUUUGCCAGCAGCUUUUUGGAUAUAUAAAUUUUGGACAAAGCAGAGGGAUAGCAAAAGAGUUCUGAAGCCUGUUCAUUUCCUUUAAAGGUGGGGAUGAAUAAUGAAAACCCUAGUGCUUUUGUAGAUGGACAGACAUCUUCACAAACCAAAGCUUCUUAACUGACUGUCAGUCAAUCGGUCAAGUUCUCGUCAAUACAGCACUAAGUCUUAAUUCUAAAGCAUACACAAAUUGAGAAAGGCUUCAAGAAACUAAAUAAUGAAACAAUGUUGAGUAGAAAUUAGGAGGGCUUUAUAUCACCUCUUCUUGUGAUUCAGUGACGCAGCUCCUCUUUUGAAGUCAGCCCACGACACCCACCACAGGCUGCAACCAACCCUCCGUGUGUUUACCAAACACUUGACGUCUUGGACAUCACCCUCCGACGAGCAGAGGGCUCCAUGGCUUGAUGCUGUGGGCCCACUAUUUGUUAUUUCUGAAUUUCUUAUACAACCACAUUUCUUUAAAAGCUCAUUUACAUGAUGAGCAGAAACAAGGAACUUUCAAAAUUCAAUUAAACUUCUUACAGACCUAAACUUCAUUGGGACAUUUGAAGCAAGCAGGUACUUUUCCUCCCUACCAGAGGCUGAGAAUUUCUUUUUCUUUAAGAGUGUACAACACGUGGCAGGAGAGAUCCUCCCCUGCUUCAGCAUUUCUAACAUAGACAUUUCCUUUAAUUUUUUUUUUCCUGGAAUGUUUUUAGACAAAUGGAUCUUUUGGGCCUGCGUUUGACUCUGACACAAUGGAGAGCUAUGCCUUGGAGGACCAAAGAAAUGCUUCUCAAUCUUGGCAUGUAAAUUAAUUGCUAAAUCGCACUGCAAUUUCUAUGGAAUUGCAUUUGAAUGCAAGAUUAAUAAUGAAUGAAUUAAUCAAGAUUAAUUUUAUUAUAAUGAAUACCAAAGGAUCUAAUGAUGAUUGGCUGCUUGUUCUCGAGAGCUGCCUUAUAAAUAUUCACACUUUUGGUGAAUUUCUUGACUAGGAUCAUAUAUUUGAGGGAGUCUUUCUCCCAUAACUCUAGGUGUCAUGUGGGAGAGGUUUCGGCAGGAACUUCUCAUUUAGGAAUUAAUUUCCUUGCUAGACUUCCCAUCCCUGGAGGGGGUCUCCAGCUAAUGAAUUGUUGAGAAAAUAUAUGAAUUUUAUAUUUGGAAAAUAAAGGCCCA